GUCCCUGUAGCGCAAUGGCAAGCGCAAUGGACAUCUCAUCCAAAGAUUGUGGGUUUGAAUCCCACCAGGCAUG